AACGAACGCUGGCGGCAUGCCUAACACAUGCAAGUCGAACGAGACCUUCGGGUCUAGUGGCGCACGGGUGCGUAACGCGGGGGAACCUGCCCUUAGGUUCGGAAUAACUCCCCGAAAGGGGUGCUAAUACCGGAUAAUGUCUUCGGACCAAAGAUUUAUCGCCUUUGGAUGGGCCCGCGUUGGAUUAGCUAGUUGGUAGGGUAAAAGCCUACCAAGGCGACGAUCCAUAGCUGGUCUGAGAGGAUGAUCAGCCACACUGGGACUGAGACACGGCCCAGACUCCGACGGGAGGCAGCAGUGGGGAAUAUUGGACAAUGGGCGAAAGCCUGAUCCAGCAAUGCCGCGGGAGUGAGGAAGGCCUUAGGGUUGUAAAGCUCUUUGACCCGGGAUGAUAAUGACAGUACCGGGAGAAUAAGCACCGGCUAACUCCGUG
rnacentral:rRNA from 1 species